rnacentral:rRNA from 1 species
UACGGAGGGAGCUAGCGUUGUUCGGAAAUACUGGGCGUAAAGCGCACGUAGGCGGCGCAGCAAGUCAGGGGUGAAAUCCCGGGGCUCAACCCCGGAACUGCCCUUGAAACUGCAGUGCUAGAAUUCUGGAGAGGCGAGUGGAAUUCCGAGUGUAGAGGUGAAAUUCGUAGAUAUUCGGCGGAACACCAGCGGCGAAGGCGGCUCACUGGACCGGAACUGACGCUGAGGCGCGAAAGCGUGGGGAGCAAACAGG